rnacentral:misc_RNA from 1 species
AAAGGGAGAAUCAAAUUCUACAUCACCGCCCACGAUUUGAGAGCGCAACCAAGCAAGUCUUUUCUCAGAAGAAAUACUCUUGGGCACACCCAUCUCCAGAGUCCGAAAAGAUACGGAGCGAUGACAAAGAUCAUUGGAAUUUGAAGAGGAAGAGCUACCUGUACCUCCAGCUGUAGCUAAGCUAGUUCUUGCAUUAGCUUUGGUUGUGGUUGAUGAUGAUCUCAGUCUAACUGGGGUCUCUUCUCUUGGCAUGAUGGGUUGUUCUAGCUCCAUUUUUUGCAAUUUCUGUAAAUGGGUAAUUUAAGAAAGAAGAAAAA